GUGCAGCAGGCGAGAAACCUCCGCAAUGCGGGAAACCGCGACGGGGGACCCCGAGUGCCGUGGUAACGCCACGGCUUUUCCGGAGUGUAAAAAGCUCCGGGAAUAAGGGCUGGGCAAGGCCGGUGGCAGCCGCCGCGGUAAUACCGGCGGCCCGAGUGGUGGCCGCUAUUAUUGGGCCUAAAGCGUCCGUAGCCGGGCCCGUAAGUCCCUGGCGAAAUCCCACGGCUCAACCGUGGGGCUUGCUGGGGAUACUGCGGGUCUUGGGACCGGGAGAGGCGGGGGGUACCCCUGGGGUAGGGGUGAAAUCCUAUAAUCCCAGGGGGACCGCCAGUGGCGAAGGCGCCCCGCUGGAACGGGUCCGACGGUGAGGGACGAAGGCCAGGGGAGCAAACCGGAUUAGAUACCCCGGUAGU
rnacentral:rRNA from 1 species